AGUGAACGCUGGCGGUAGGCCUAACACAUGCAAGUCGAACGGCAGCACAGUAAGAGCUUGCUCUUACGGGUGGCGAGUGGCGGACGGGUGAGGAAUACAUCGGAAUCUACUUUUUCGUGGGGGAUAACGUAGGGAAACUUACGCUAAUACCGCAUACGACCUCCGGGGGAAAGCAGGGGAUCUUCGGACCUUGCGCGAUUGAAUGAGCUGAUGUCGGAUUAGCUAGUUGGCGGGGUAAAGGCCCACCAAGGCGACGUUCCGUAGCUGGUCUGAGAGGAUGAUCAGCCACACUGGAACUGAGACACGGUCCAGACUCCUACGGGAGGCAGCAGUGGGGAAUAUUGGACAAUGGGCGCAAGCCUGAUCCAGCCAUACCGCGUGGGUGAAGAAGGCCUUCGGGUUGUAAAGCCCUUUUGUUGGGAAAGAAAAGCAGCAGGUUAAUACCCCGCUGUUCUGACGGUACCCAAAGAAUAAGCACCGGCUAACUUCGUG
rnacentral:rRNA from 1 species